rnacentral:lncRNA from 1 species
CCAGUGUUAACUGUACAGGUAGCCCUCAAUUUAUGCCGAUUCAAUUUGCGCCGGCUUUUGUAGGAAUGGAACUGCGGCAUGCGGCAUAAACUGAGGGCUACCUAUACUUAUGAAUGGUGCUCCUUACAUUGGCCUCAGAUUUGUUCUUCUCAUGCACUCUCAAAACAUCUUGUGCAUUCAUUGGCAUGAAAUUUUAAUCAUUUGUAAAUCAAACAGAAAGGCAUUUACAUACCAAGUUUCAUACCUCUAUUUUUUAGGGAUGGAUUUUUUUUUGCAACAGAGUAUAUUAUAUGAAGAAUCAAAGGUAGAGAAAUAUGCCUGUUAGUGCCAUGCUGUGACAGUUAAAUUUAAAAAAAAUUAAGAAAUCUUUAUGGUAAUGUGUCUAAAAUGUUAGUGCCACUACCAUAACGUGCAGAUCUGCCAGAUACUUUUAUAUAUGUAUAUUUAGUGCUUUUUUUUUCUGAUG